rnacentral:rRNA from 1 species
UACGUAGGGUGCAGGCGUUAAUCGGAAUUACUGGGCGUAAAGCGUGCGCAGGCGGUUUGCUAAGACAGGUGGGAAAUCCCCGGGCUUAACCUGGGAACUGCGCUUGUAACUGGCAAGCUAGAGUGUGGCAGAGGGGGGUGGAAUUCCAGGUGUAGCAGUGAAAUGCGUAGAGAUCUGGAGGAACACCGAUGGCGAAGGCAGCCCCCUGGGCUAACACUGACGCUCAUGCACGAAAGCGUGGGGAGCAAACAGG